AUGGAAAUUGAGGAGAUGAACAAAAAGGUCAUGGAUGUGAACAAACCAUUUCUUUGGGUUCACUGGAGUACCUGUGCCUUGGAAAAUGUCACUGGAGUUCAAGACCUGGUUCUUAGAUGUGCAUAUUUGGAAACUGAAUUUUCCAAUAGGUCUCUCAGGGAUGAAGACUGAAUAUAGUGGAGAGAGAACUUCUGGAUUCAAGGACAUUGAAAAUAAUAGCUAGUAAGUGUCAAGCACUGUUGUAGGCACUUUGGAUAAGUUUUUUGAUCUUUUUUGUUUCAAAAGCAUAGAGUAUGAGGCAGUUUUCUUGGGGCAUGACCAGUUUUAAUCAUGUAACCUAAAGGGCAAGACCAGUUUUAAUCAUGUAACCUAAGAUGUCUAGGAUUAUGGAUCAUGUCCCGCCCAGGCUUAGCACAGGAUAUCCCUGUAAGAGAGUUGUCUAUGUCUUCUAUUAAAAAUGGAUAUAUUUUGUGUUUGCGACCUGUAGGGUCAUUUAAAACAUGGAACUCAAGGUCAGGAUCCCUCUUGCUCAGGUGUAAGGAUGGUAUUAGAGUUAAAUAAUAUAAGCAAUAAAAUAUCCCUACUUUAUAGAUAAAAUUGUUAGGUCACAGUAAAAUUAAGAUUUUUUUUUUCUGUUUUUUUUUUGAGAUGGAGUCUCACUUUGUCAACCAGGCUGGAGUACAAUGGUACAAUCUCGGCUUACUGUAACCUCCACCAGCCAGGUUCAAGCAGUUCUCUUGCCUCAGCCUCCUGAGUAACUGGGACUACUAUAGGCAUGUGCCACCAUGCCUGGCUAAUUUUUUGUAUUUUUAGUAGAGAUGGAGCUUCACCAUGCUGGCUAGGCUGGUCUCAAACUUCUGACCUCAUGAUCUACCCACCUCAGCCUCCCAAAGUGCUGGGAUUACAGGUGUGAGCCACCAUGCCCGGCCCAGAGAUUAAGAUUCUUAUACAGGGAGAUGCAGCUAGUUAAUUAUACACAGGGUUUAGAUAAAGACUGUCUUAUUUAGAAGGCUGUGCUUUUAACCACUACACAGUAGUCCUUAUUUGUGCAUGCCUGAAUUGGUAUUACUGCACCCUGCAUCCCUGUU
rnacentral:lncRNA from 1 species